UACGAAGGGGGCAAGCGUUGUUCGGCCUUACUGGGCGUAAAGCGCGCGUAGGCGGAUCCUUAAGUCGGGGGUGAAAGCCCGGAGCUCAACACCGGAACUGCCUUCGAUACUGGGGAUCUUGAGGGCGAGAGAGGUGAGUGGAAUUCCGAGUGUAGAGGUGAAAUUCGUAGAUAUUCGGAGGAACACCAGUGGCGAAGGCGGCUCACUGGCUCGAUACUGACGCUGAGGUGCGAAAGCGUGGGGAGCAAACAGG
rnacentral:rRNA from 1 species